GAUCAUGGCUCAGGACGAACGCUGGCGGCGUGCCUAAUACAUGCAAGUAGAACGCACAGGAUGCACCGUAGUUUACUACACCGUAUUCUGUGAGUUGCGAACGGGUGAGUAACGCGUAGGUAACCUGCCUGGUAGCGGGGGAUAACUAUUGGAAACGAUAGCUAAUACCGCAUAAGAACAUUUACUGCAUGGUAGAUGUUUAAAAGGUGCAAGAGCAUCACUACCAGAUGG
rnacentral:rRNA from 1 species